AUCAGAUAUCCUGCCAGAAUACAAAAUUUAUUGCAAAUUCCAAUGGUCAACCCAACCAGACCUCUGAAUUCUGUUCAUAGGUAGAAAUACAAACCCUGAAGAAAGGACUUCCAGUGACACCUUCCCUGAACCUCUCCAUGCAGUUCCUUCUACUCAGCACUCAGCCUUAUUGCAGAGACCGACACAGUACUUAAGAGUCCUUCAGGAGAAGGAAGAAGGAGAUUUGAGACCCAGAGAAACAGAGGAAGAGGCCAUGUGAACAUGGAAGCAGAGACUGGAGGGCAAUCAUGAACUAAAAACCAC